CUAGCUUCUUAUUAAUCUGGUCACGCAUAAGGAAGAAAGCCUCAAUGUCGAAACCACCGACACUCACCUGUAUCCUAAACCUAUAAAAAAUAUUUACAUAACAUAACAAUCAAUAAUCCAACAUUUUCAUCAAUUAAAUGUAUGUUUAAUCACCAAAAAAUCGAUAAGAUAUCGAGAAACAAAAUAAUUGAAUACCUAGGUUCAUCUAACGGUAAUUGGUGAUUAAUCCACUUGUCAACACCCUAAUCAACACCAAAAUAGCAAGAAACCACAAUAAACAAACUUUCAUCCUUGGAUGAGAUAAAUUUAACAAAACUCCUAAUAGGCUUAUCACAAACAAAUUCAUGCAAUCCAACAAUUUGAGAUAUUAUAGAUAUAAUUGACCAACACAAUAAACAAAUAUGACGGAGAGAUGAUCAAUACUCACAAUGAAAUUUGGUCUUCUCCCCAUCAUAUUUGUUUAUUGUUUUGGUCAAUUAUGUUUAAAAUAUCUCAAAUUGUUGGGUUGCAUUAAUUUGUUGGUGAUAGGUCUACUAUGAGUUUUGUUAAAUUGAUCUCAUCUAAGGACGAAGGUUUGUUUAUUGUGGUUGCUUGCUAUUUCGGUGUUGAUGAGGGUGUUGAUAAGUGGAUUGAUAAUUAAUCUUUUUUUAGGUUUAUGCUACAUGUGAGUGUCGGUGAUUUCAACAUUGAG
rnacentral:lncRNA from 1 species